rnacentral:rRNA from 1 species
UGUGAAUUGCAGAAUUCCGGAAUCAUCGAGUUUUUGAACGCAAGUUGCGCCCGAGGCUCGUUCCGAGGGCAUGCCCGCCUGAGCGUCGUUCCGACCCACCCACGAAUCCCCCCUUCGGAGGA